rnacentral:lncRNA from 1 species
GGAAUCAGGAGAGGGAGUGGAGGGGAAAGUCUUCAAUUAACCCAUUAGGGAGUGCUCUUCCACUCAUAACUGCUAGCCAGAGGCCCUGUAACAGAAAGCCACAUGCCAGUGACCCUGUAGAUACCACUUCCGUGGCAUUGAGGUGAGCUGCCACACCUCCUAAGCAUACUGUGGUUCCUAUGGAGGAAGACUUAGGACCCUGCAGAAGAAGGAUCUGUCUCCAAAGAAGAGCCGUAUCAUGGAGGAUGACAUGGAGGCCUUGGAGGGUAAAACAGACUGCAGCAGCCUGAACCACAACCCUGAAUUCUUUCUCCCCACCUGUGGAUCCUGAAAGGACUGUAGAUCCAUGGCUCCACUCACUGAUAGAUCCCAGAUCCCAGUUAUUCUUGCCACCACCCAUUGGCAAACCAGGCUGAUUGCCCCUAAUCCUGUCUGUCCCUUUACCUUCCCCCACACCGAUUAGUGUUGAGGUGGGCCUCCCUAGUUGUCUUCCUCUCCCUCCUCCUGCUAACCUCUUCCUCCCUUGAGGCCCAGUCCCAGUGUGGAUAUUCAUGCUGGAGAGUAUCAUCACUCUACUCACUUGGCAAGAGCUGCUGCACCCCCCGUUUCCCUCCUCCCCACACCUCAUAUCCAGGGGCCUUUCCCCUUCAACCUGCCUCCUGCAGAAUUAAAUCUCCAACCCUCAAGUGAGUGGAUUUUCCUCCUUCUCCUCUUCCUUCUUUCCCAGUUCUCCUUUAAUCCCUUUCACUAGCAAACAUGUUAGCAUUGAUCAUCCCCUAACUCUGGAAAGGGAAUCUGCCACCUCUAGAGCCAAUGCAUCUGUGCUCCGGAUCCAGCAGCCAACUGUCCAGCUGAGGCCAU